rnacentral:lncRNA from 1 species
AUGACCUCCUCCUUGGCUGAAGAUUCUGCCUUUAUUGGCUCGAAUGUCAAUGUGUUCAACGUUCAGAGAUGCCCCAAACCUCCUUGUGUGCAAAAGCAGGCACUGGAAGAAUACCAACAGAUGUAAGAAGAAUCUCAGUGAGGUAUACUGAUAAAGGAGCGGAGUCUGACAACUGUAUGGUUUUGGAGCACAGGAGUGAAAUCUCUCUGGAAGUCUUGGAAACACCAUGCAUUUCACAACAGAAUUUGCACGGCUUCAUGCAAACGGAAAACGGGAAGUCAUCCUUCAGCUUUGUCAGGACUGCAGAAACCAUUGCUGAAACAGGAACAUAG